rnacentral:rRNA from 1 species
GUGCCAGCAGCCGCGGUAAUACAGGGGGCUCGAGCGUUAGUCGGAAUCACUGGGCUUAAAGGGUGCGUAGGCGGCCCGCCAAGUGCUUUGUGAAAUCCCACAGCUCAACUGUGGAACAGCAGGGCAAACUGGCGGGCUUGAAGCAGGUAGGGGCUGGAAGAACAGUUGGUGGAGCGGUGAAAUGCGUAGAUAUCAACUGGAAUGCCGAUGGGGAAGCCGUCCAGCUGGGCCUGUCUUGACGCUGAGGCACGAAAGCGUGGGGAGCAAACAGGAUUAGAUACCCUGGUAGUCC